UACGUAGGGGGCUAGCGUUGUCCGGAAUCAUUGGGCGUAAAGAGCGUGUAGGCGGUCCGGUAAGUCCGUUGUGAAAGUCAGGGGCUCAACCCUUGAAUGCCGGCGGAUACUGUCGGGCUAGAGUCCGGAAGAGGCAAGUGGAAUUCCCGGUGUAGCGGUGAAAUGCGCAGAUAUCAGGAGGAACACCGAUGGCGAAGGCAGGUCUCUGGGCCAUUACUGACACUGAGAAGCGAAAGCAUGGGGAGCGAACAGG
rnacentral:rRNA from 1 species